CCUACGGGUGGCAGCAGUGAGGAAUAUUGGUCAAUGGACGAGAGUCUGAACCAGCCAAGUAGCGUGAAGGAUGACUGCCCUAUGGGUUGUAAACUUCUUUUAUAUGGGAAUAAAAUGUUCCACGUGUGGGAUUUUGUAUGUACCAUAUGAAUAAGGAUCGGCUAACUCUGUGCCAGCAGCCGCGGUAAUACGGAGGAUCCGAGCGUUAUCCGGAUUUAUUGGGUUUAAAGGGAGCGUAGGUGGAUUGUUAAGUCAGUUGUGAAAGUUUGCGACUCAACCGUAAAAUUGCAGUUGAAACUGGCAGUCUUGAGUACAGUAGAGGUGGGCGGAAUUCGUGGUGUAGCGGUGAAAUGCUUAGAUAUCACGAAGAACUCCGAUUGCGAAGGCAGUUCACUGGACUGCAACUGACACUGAGGCUCGAAAGUGUGGGUAUCAAACAGGAUUAGAUACCCCUGUAGUC
rnacentral:rRNA from 1 species